rnacentral:rRNA from 1 species
UGGGGAAUCUUCCGCAAUGGGCGCAAGCCUGACGGAGCAACGCCGCGUGAGUGAAGAAGGGUUUCGACUCGUAAAGCUCUGUUGUCGGGGACGAAUGUGGAGGUUGUGAAUAACAGCUUCCAAUGACGGUACCUGACGAGGAAGCCACGGCUAACUACGUGCCAGCAGCCGCGGUAAUACGUAGGUGGCGAGCGUUGUCCGGAAUUAUUGGGCGUAAAGGGAGCGCAGGCGGGAGAUCAAGUCUAUCUUAAAAGUGCGGGGCUCAACCCCGUGAGGGGAUGGAAACUGGUCUUCUUGAGUGCAGGAGAGGAAAGCGUGGGGAGCAAACAGGAUUAGAUACCCUGGUAGU